rfam:Cyanobacteria bacterium 13_1_20CM_4_61_6 13_1_20cm_4_scaffold_236354, whole genome shotgun sequence.
GCCGCAGUGGCUUAGGGGUAGAGCGGCGCCUUGGUAAGGCGCAGGUCGGGGGUUCAAUUCCCCCCUGCGGCU